UAAUAAAAUAGGAAGAAGAAGAAAGUGAAUUAAUUCCACGUCUUUUACCUUCUUUUCAUAUCUUUUCCCUUGGCUUUUUACAUCUGGAUUUUUCCUUCAUUUCUAUUCAAUUUCCGUUCUUCUUUCUUCUUUUAUUUUGAAUAGAAAUGAGGAAAAGAUGAAAGAGGAGAAAAGAAUAGACAAUUUGGUUCUUUUGUGUCCUUUUCAUACAAUUCCAUUCGCUUCGGUUGUAAAUAAAGCACAGGAACAUGCCAUUGU
rnacentral:ribozyme from 1 species